CUGGGCCUGCCAGGGACAGAGCUUGUGGCCACACCUGACCCCCACAGAGAGGCCCUGGGCUCAGAGGUGCAUAGAAAAGUGGUUCCAUGCAGGAGCUCAGACUCUGAAGCUCUAUCACACAAUAACUAAGAUUCCAUGUGUGUGACUUAUGCCUCAGUUUCCCUGACUGGAAAAUGACUCCUACCAACAGCGUGGUGGACACAUAAAGCCCUUGAAAUACUCUGCUCACAGUGUCUAGCAGGUGGAGAGGAUGGAGGGCUCGCCUCCUGGAGGGCCCCUCAAGGGCAAAGGACUUUGGAACUGGUUCCUUCAAACAGACGGGAAUGAUGGUUGGCUCCACGCCUCCUCCUCCACCUCGUCACCUGCGCCACAGCGGUACCCCCAAGCUCGUCCUCCCUUGAGGUCCUGCCUCACUACGAGAAACUGAAGGAGCCCGAGUCUGAGGGCCUACGUCUACUCUCUCUGUCUUUCCUAAAAGGCAACAAUUCCCUUCAUGACCUGAGCACAGUCUCUCCACCUCCCGCCUCGCCAGCACUACUCCUUCUGGUUCAUUCCCCCCGUUAGCAGACAUCUCCUGGAAGAGCUCGGUCAUGCUUAUUUGAUGGCUCUUCUGUUUCCGCCCGUUCUUGUUCUUCUACCUUCUCCUCUGGGUGAACUGGGUGAUCUUGCACCAGGUUUAAAAAUUCAUGACUCCUGGGGAAGAUGAAAUGAAACAGAGCAGAAAAUCAGAAUCCAAACCCAGUGCUCCUGAUGCGACAAAAGUAUUUUCAGCAGUGACCAGCAAGGAAGUCAGGGUAGGGGUCAAGAGGAGCAAGCAUUCUGGAUACACAGAGAUCUGGGUUCAAAUCUCCAGCCCUUUCUUUCUGAGGGCUGAGCUCUUGGACGCCCUUAUCUUCUUGCAAGCUGUGUGAUGAGGUCACAGUGGUGCGGGCACACAGCAGAAUUCACACAGUGAGGCCAAGGAUUCAGAAGAGACAUGUAAGUGCUUAAACACAGCCGGCACAGAGAACGCACCCAACCUCAUGCUAACCCUCGCGAUGUGUGGAGACCACACACUGACAAGGCAAAGCCUGGGUCAUUCGGUCACCCCAUGAGGAGCUGCCCCAUUCACACUGGACUUGGCCCAAGUGAGAAAUAAACUUUGCUCUGUUA